GAUGAACGCUGGCGGCGUGCUUAACACAUGCAAGUCGAGCGAAGCACUAAAGCGGAUUUCUUCGGAUUGAAGGUUUAGUGACUGAGCGGCGGACGGGUGAGUAACGCGUGGGUAACCUGCCUCAUACAGGGGGAUAACAGUUGGAAACGGCUGCUAAUACCGCAUAAGCGCACAGUACCGCAUGGUACGGUGUGAAAAACUCCGGUGGUAUGAGAUGGACCCGCGUCUGAUUAGGUAGUUGGUGGGGUAACGGCCUACCAAGCCGACGAUCAGUAGCCGACCUGAGAGGGUGACCGGCCACAUUGGGACUGAGACACGGCCCAAACUCCUACGGGAGGCAGCAGUGGGGAAUAUUGCACAAUGGGGGAAACCCUGAUGCAGCGACGCCGCGUGAGCGAAGAAGUAUUUCGG
rnacentral:rRNA from 1 species